rnacentral:rRNA from 1 species
AGUGAACGCUGGCGGCGUGCCUAAUACAUGCAAGUCGAACGGAGAUUAAGUAGCUUGCUAUUUAAUCUUAGAGGCGCACGGGUGAGUAAUAUAUAGCUAACUUGCCCAUUACUAAGGGACAACAGUUGGAAACGACUGCUAAUACCUUAUACUCCGUAUCUAUAUAAGUAGAUACGGGAAAGUUUUUCGGUAAUGGAUAGGGCUAUAUCGUGUCAGCUAGUUGGUAAGGUAAUGGCUUACCAAGGCUAUGACGCGUAACUGGUCUGAGAGGAUGAUCAGUCACACUGGAACUGAGACACGGUCCAGACUCCUACGGGAGGCAGCAGUAGGGAAUAUUGCUCAAUGGGGGAAACCCUGAAGCAGCAACGCCGCGUGGAGGAUGACACUUUUCGGAGCGUAAACUCCUUUUCUUGGGAAAGAAUUAUGACGGUACCCAAGGAAUAAGCACCGGCUAACUCCGUG